rnacentral:rRNA from 1 species
GACGAACGCUGGCGGCGUGCCUAAUACAUGCAAGUAGAACGCUGAAGGAGGAGCUUGCUCUUCUGGAUGAGUUGCGAACGGGUGAGUAACGCGUAGGUAACCUGCCUUGUAGCGGGGGAUAACUAUUGGAAACGAUAGCUAAUACCGCAUAAGAGUAGAUGUUGCAUGACAUUUGCUUAAAAGUUGCAAUUGCAUCACUACCAGAUGGACCUGCGUUGUAUUAGCUAGUUGGUGGGGGAACGGCUCACCAAGGCGACGAUACAUAGCCGACCUGAGAGGGUGAUCGGCCACACUGAGACUGAGACACGGCCCAGACUCCUACGGGAGGCAGCGGUAGGGAAUAUUCAGCAAUGGACGGAAGUCUGACCGAGCAACGCCGCGUGAGUGAAGAAGGUUUUCGGAUCGUAAAGCUCUGUUGUAAGAGAAGAACGAGUGUGAGAGUGGAAAGUUCACACUGUGACGGUAUCUUACCAGAAAGGGACGGCUAACUACGUG